CAGGCAGUCAGAAAUGUUCGUUAGGUCAGGCGAGGCCUUGCUGUUGUUGUUGUUGCUUUUUAUUUAUUUUUUAUUUCUGUUUCGCAAUCAUAAAUAUUUCAUACGCAAUUUCAUAAGAUUGGACGAGGGGCCUAUCCUUUAUAGUAAAUCAAAGUGGCUUUAAAAAUUUUAUGCUCCGUCUGGACAUAAAAAUUUCAUAUUGACAAAUACACAAACACACCCACACGCACCCGCACACACACACACACACACACACACACACACACACACACACACAGUUGAGCACAUUUUGUAAGUCUGCAAGUUACAUUUGUAUUGUUGAAUUCUCAAAUAAUUUACUUUUGCAUGACUCUUGUGCAAUUUGAUUUUAAUUCAAUUAGAGUGUUUUGCAACAGAAUUUUCCUGGAAAAACUCCAUGUCUAUUUAUGUGUCUACAUUGGUUUACCCACUUAUUUCAUGCGUGAGGAUGUCAACAAGCUCGUCGACUGCAUUUGAUAAGAGUUUCACUCGAAUCUAUUUGCCAUUGUCUGUGUGAGUAGAUAUAUCGUUUAGAUCGCUUCGUUUACACAUUUUUCAACGCAUUUUCACCAACAUACAUCACUGCUAGUUGCUGGCUGCUGUUGUUGUUGACUUUUUGCUUUUAUUCGCCUCGUGUAUUGCUGUAAGACAAAGGCAAAACAGCGUUUGUAUGUGUUGUCAAGAUGACAGAACGUUUUGCCAACGUAUAAGUAGCCCGACGACGAGCACACUCCCUACUGGCACUCUAUAUCCUUCACAUGCUUGAAACGCCCUGUCAUUUGCACUAGAGCUAACCGAAGCCGCCAUAGAGCCUCUGCCUCAACGCGACUCAGAGCAGUGUGGGUAAUCACACUAGCUGAGAAUUCUAUACAGACUUUGUUGUGCUCAUUUAACACUGGAGUACAAAUACGAUUUUCAAAACGCUAUUGACAAUCCCAAGCAAGUACUUUCGCUUCAUAACGCAAUCCUCCAUGUGAAUUGUUCUUCUGCAAUUAUUGGAUUUACUAAAUAUCCAAGAGUGUAUUUAUAUUAUUAUCCAUUGGCUUUGAAUUCGAAAUUGUGUAAGUGUGUGUCUAUUAAAGCUGGACAAAUUUUAUCCGGCAGCCUGAAGCGCUCUGAACUUUGAACUACCUUGGUUUGUAUAUAGAGUAUUCAAAGUAUGAGCAUAUUUGUUUCCAUUAAUUUUCCAUGCGAUUUAUUUUAAAUAAAUCAUCCAACAAAA